GAAUCUUGCGCAAUGGGCGAAAGCCUGACGCAGCCAUGCCGCGUGAAUGAUGAAGGUCUUAGGAUUGUAAAGCUCUUUCACCGAUGAAGAUAAUGACGGUAGUCGGAGAAGAAGCCCCGGCUAACUUCGUGCCAGCAGCCGCGGUAAUACGAAGGGGGCUAGCGUUGUUCGGAAUUACUGGGCGUAAAGCGCACGUAGGCGGAUAUUUAAGUCAGGGGUGAAAUCCCAGAGCUCAACUCUGGAACUGCCUUUGAUACUGGGUAUCUAGAGUAUGGAAGAGGUGAGUGGAAUUCCGAGUGUAGAGGUGAAAUUCGUAGAUAUUCGGAGGAACACCAGUGGCGAAGGCGGCUCACUGGUCCAUUACUGACGCUGAGGUGCGAAAGCGUGGGGAGCAAA
rnacentral:rRNA from 1 species